AUCUCAUAAUCAAACUCAAGAAUCCUCCAGUAGCCUGCAAAUUCCAAGGAACAUUGUAAGUGAAGUAUAGUCACUUAAUACCCAUAAGGCAUUGCAUUGGUUACUGUUAUUUGUCAACAAGAUACAACCUAAAGUCCCCUGGAAGAGACUCUCUGAGAGGGACGGCCUGAGGUAAUCUGUGUGGUGUGAUGCUGUUGAUCACAACUCUCUGACCACAGCUAUGUGAAAACAACUAGUUCUCCCAGCACAAAGAAGUCCAGUUCACCGCAGAAGUGACAGUUCUGUGAAGGUGUGGACAAGAAAAAUAAACCAUCAGCAAUCAAGAUGGCUUCCCCUCUUCCUAAGGAAACUACAUAUAUACACAGUGGAAUUUUCUUCAGCAGUAAAGAAGGAAGUGAGGACAUCUGAUGAAAAAUGGAUGGAAGUGGAGAACACAGUAUGUUAAGAGAAAUGAACUAGACAAGAAAGACAAAAGAAAUCUGAAUUGCAGCUGGAUGUGGUGGUGUGGACCUAUGAUCCCAGAACUAUGGAAGCUGAGGCAGAAGAAUCUCAAACGUCCAAGUUCAAGUUCUAAGCCAUCCAGAGCUACAGAGCAACAGCCUACAAAGAGUUCCAGGAGAUGGAGUGCAAAGACGGUAAGGACUAAUGGAUGAACCGGAGUGCCACACAAUGCUGUCUCCUGGCUUUGACCUGACCAUCAUAAUCAUGAGUGCAUAGCAGCUCCCUGCGCAAAGCCUGAGCCAACCGCCACCACCACCACUGACAACACAAAAAAGAUAUGGGCUAUAACUCAAUUGUUGCGAAGAGUCAACAUGGCCAAGUUUAUAGAAGAGUUUAUGGAGGCUUGCUUACAGUUUCAG